CGGGAGGCAGCAGUGGGGAAUUUUCCGCAAUGGGCGAAAGCCUGACGGAGCAAUACCGCGUGAGGGAAGACUGCCUAUGGGUUGUAAACCUCUUUUUUCAGGGAGGAAUAAAAUGACGUGUACCUGAAGAAUAAGCAUCGGCUAACUCCGUGCCAGCAGCCGCGGUAAGACGGAGGUUGCAAGUGUUAUCCGGAAUCACUGGGCGUAAAGCGUCUGUAGGUGGUUUAAUAAGUCAACUGUUAAAUCUUGAGGCUCAACUUCAAAAUCGCAGUCGAAACUAUUAGACUAGAGUAUAGUAGAGGUAAAGGGAAUUUCCAGUGGAGCGGUGAAAUGCGUAGAUAUUGGAAAGAACACCGAUGGCGAAAGCACUUUACUGGGCUAUUACUAACACUCAGAGACGAAAGCUAGGGUAGCAAAUGGGAUUAGAUACCCCAGUAGUCCUAGCCGUAAACUAUGGAUACUAGAUGUUGAACAGAUCGACCUGUGCAGUAUCAAAGCUAACGCGUUAAGUAUCCCGCCUGGGAAGUAUGCUCGCAAGAGUGAAACUCAAAGGAAUUG
rnacentral:rRNA from 1 species